rnacentral:rRNA from 1 species
UACAGAGGGGGCAAGCGUUGUUCGGAAUUACUGGGCGUAAAGGGCGCGUAGGCGGCCUUCUAAGUCAGACGUGAAAUCCCUCGGCUCAACCGGGGAACUGCGUCUGAGACUGGAAGGCUUGAAUCCGGGAGAGGGAUGUGGAAUUCCAGGUGUAGCGGUGAAAUGCGUAGAUAUGCGGAGGAACACCGAUGGCGAAGGCAAUCCCCUGGGCCUGCACUGACGCUCAUGCACGAAAGCGUGGGGAGCAAACAGG